rnacentral:rRNA from 1 species
GACGAACGCUGGCGGCGUGCUUAACACAUGCAAGUCGAACGGAAAGGCCCUGCUUUUGUGGGGUGCUCGAGUGGCGAACGGGUGAGUAACACGUGAGUAACCUGCCCUUGACUUUGGGAUAACUUCAGGAAACUGGGGCUAAUACCGGAUAGGAGCUCCUGCUGCAUGGUGGGGGUUGGAAAGUUUCGGCGGUUGGGGAUGGACUCGCGGCUUAUCAGCUUGUUGGUGGGGUAGUGGCUUACCAAGGCUUUGACGGGUAGCCGGCCUGAGAGGGUGACCGGCCACAUUGGGACUGAGAUACGGCCCAGACUCCAACGGGAGGCAGCAGUGGGGAAUAUUGCACAAUGGGCGGAAGCCUGAUGCAGCAACGCCGAGUGCGGGAUGACGGCCUUCGGGUUGUAAACCGCUUUCGCCUGUGACGAAGCGUGAGUGACGGUAAUGGGUAAAGAAGCACCGGCUAACUACGUG